rnacentral:rRNA from 1 species
UACGGGGGGAGCAAGCGUUGUUCGGAUUUACUGGGCGUAAAGGGCGCGUAGGCGGCCACCGCAGGUCGAUUGUGAAAUCUCCGGGCUUAACCCGGAAAGGUCAACCGAUACUGCGGGGCUAGAGUGCGGAAGGGGCAACUGGAAUUCUUGGUGUAGCGGUGAAAUGCGUAGAUAUCAAGAGGAACACCUGCGGCGAAGGCGGGUUGCUGGGCCGACACUGACACUGAGAGACGAAAGCGUGGGGAUCAAACAGG